rnacentral:tRNA from 1 species
GCGCCCGUAGCUCAGUCUGGAUAGAGUACUUGGCUACGAACCAAGGGGUCGUGGGUUCAAAUCCUGCCGGGCGCGCCA